UACGUAGGGGGCAAGCGUUGUCCGGAAUCAUUGGGCGUAAAGAGCGCGUAGGCGGUCCGGUAAGUCCGCUCUGAAAGCCCGGGGCUCAACCCCGGGAGGCGGGCGGAUACUGUCGGGCUAGAGUCCGGAAGAGGCGAGUGGAAUUCCUGGUGUAGCGGUGAAAUGCGCAGAUAUCAGGAGGAACACCGGUGGCGAAGGCGGUUCUCUGGGCCUGUACUGACGCUGAGGAGCGAAAGCGUGGGGAGCGAACAGG
rnacentral:rRNA from 1 species